rnacentral:tRNA from 1 species
GGGGGAAUAGCUCAGUGGUAGAGUGCGUGCUUAGCAUGCAUGAGGUCCUGGGUUUAAUCCCCAGUACCUCCA